rnacentral:rRNA from 1 species
AGAGUUUGAUCCUGGCUCAGGACGAACGCUGGCGGCGUGCUUAACACAUGCAAGUCGAGCGGUAAGGCCCUUUCGGGGGUACACGAGCGGCGAACGGGUGAGUAACACGUGGGUGACCUGCCCUCAGCUCUGGGAUAAGCCUGGGAAACUGGGUCUAAUACCGGAUAUGACCUUCUGUCGCAUGGCAGUGGGUGGAAAGUUUUUCGGCUGGGGAUGGGCCCGCGGCCUAUCAGCUUGUUGGUGGGGUGAUGGCCUACCAAGGCGACGACGGGUAGCCGGCCUGAGAGGGCGACCGGCCACACUGGGACUGAGACACGGCCCAGACUCCUACGGGAGGCAGCAGUGGGGAAUAUUGCGCAAUGGGCGAAAGCCUGACGCAGCGACGCCGCGUGGGGGAUGACGGCCUUCGGGUUGUAAACCUCUUUCGACCGGGACGAAGCGCAAGUGACGGUACCGGUAGAAGAAGCACCGGCCAACUACGUGCCAGCAGCCGCGGUAAUACGUAGGGUGCGAGCGUUGUCCGGAAUUAUUGGGCGUAAAGAGCUCGUAGGCGGUGUGUCGCGUCGGUCGUGAAAACUUGGGGCUCAACCCUGAGCUUGCGGUCGAUACGGGCAUCACUUGAGUUCGGCAGGGGAGACUGGAAUUCCUGGUGUAGCGGUGAAAUGCGCAGAUAUCAGGAGGAACACCGGUGGCGAAGGCGGGUCUCUGGGCCGAUACUGACGCUGAGGAGCGAAAGCGUGGGGAGCGAACAGGAUUAGAUACCCUAGUAGUCC